rnacentral:lncRNA from 1 species
CAGAUUAACAAAAUCAGCAGAUAUAAAUUAGGAAAUGAAGAUGGAGGAGAGAAAAGAAACUGCUUUUGUCCCAGCGCUGGCUCUUGAAAGUACCUUCUCCUUCUAUGAAAGCUCUCUAAUGCGUACUGGGAUAAGUAAGAGAGUUUUUCAAAGCCUCAACAGGAAGAGAUAGCCUCAAGGCUGAUAUUUAGAAAAAGCUUCUAUGGAAAAAGAAUAUGAGGCAUUACUUUUGGUACAGCCUACGUAGAAAAGAACUCUCAGGUCAAGGAAAAUGGAGAGAUUGUCUCUCUGAAGAGGUGGUGGAGUAGCUGUUCAGUAAAUCUGGAAGGUUGGGAGAAGUUCAUGCAAGUCAGAACAGAAAAGAGCUGAUUAUGAAAGUGAAAGAAAAGCUUUCCCAAGCAUUGGAUGCAUUUGAUAUUCAUGCAAACUGAAGCUUUUAAGGUGUACCGUGAAGAAGAAAUUACUACUUUCAUACAGCAGAACCCAUCCCUGG